AUAACGACUCUCGGCAACGGAUAUCUCGGCUCUCGCAUCGAUGAAGAASGUAGCGAAAUGCGAUACUUGGUGUGAAUUGCAGAAUCCYGUGAACCAUCGAGUCUUUGAACGCAAGUUGCGCCCGAAGCCAUUUGGCCGAGGGCACGUCUGCCUGGGCGUCACGC
rnacentral:rRNA from 1 species